GUUUCCGGUGAGCGGCAGGAGCCGGUUAUGACGACUCUUCUCCCGAGCGAAGCCAUCUGCUGUUCCUCGGUAGCCCCGGCUCCCCCGGCUCCAGGCCUGUGGAAAUCCAGUCAAGGAAUACAGACGUGGAGGGAGCCCGCUGUUUGGAGCUGAAAGAAAAAGUAGUUCCGCCGCUGGAGAAGAGCACCCACCCAUCCCUGCGGGGCCUAGCGAGAGGACUCAGCCCAGGAAAGGCUUUCUGCCCGCCCCGGGGCUGUGCUUUCGUGCACCAGCAGCCACCUCCACCUAGCUUAUGCAAGUUGUAAAUGCCUGAAGCCUCACGACAGCUUCUGGGUGGUUCUGAGGAUUAAAGAGGUAAGUAUUUUCAGUCUAAGGAGCGUCACUGUUACUAUUAAUAUGUAUUUUUAAGUUUUGUAAAAUUGCUAUCAGCUCACUGUUGGCUUAAAGUCCUAACUAAAAAUAUUAAUUUGGAUCACCUUUACAACAGAUAAUAUAUUCUUCAGAGCCACCUAAAAGAAGAGUAACUAUAUUUACCACUCUAGAGGGGAAAAGGAUUUCUUCUCACACAUAGCAGUCUAUUUCUAAAGGCCGCGUUGUCAUGGCCCAUAGUCAAUGAAGACUGAUUUUGAAAGCUGGGUUUUCCAGUUUGCCCCAGUGACAGCGAAUGUGUAAUAUGGUUCUGUCAGCCAGGGGAGGGAGCACUUUUUUUCUUUUUUUUGAAUAGAGCAAAGAUAACACUAAGGUGAAUCCAGAAAGGCAUGAUUAUUUUCUGCUAUCUAUAGGAGAAAUCCUGUCUAAGAUUUAAUCCUUGUGGAGUGAGUUAGAAAUGCAGUAACAGCCAUGGCCGUUAUCUCCUUUCACAAGACUAAGGCAGGACGGGGGGAAUUUAAGGGCACCGUCUCUGAGGCACACUGCCUGGGUUUCACUUUUGGAGUUUUCUAAGUCUUAGUUAUUAUUAUCAUAGGUUGUUAUUAUACCCACCAGAAUGUAAGCUUCACAAAGGCACAGUUUAGUUCUCAACUGCACGUUCACUGCAUCAUCGCUGGUUCUUUGAAGAGUAUCUAGCACAUAGUUUACACUCACAGACUGAUUGUGAUUAUUAGUUUUUAUUCAGCAGAUACACACUUGCUCCGAGCCAUCGCACGUCUUCUCUCUCCCUGGCAUGUUUUCCCCACUCCUUAUCAUUCAAGUCUCAGCUCAAAUGUUAUUAUUUAGCAACCCCAACCGCCACCCCAUCCCACAUAGCUUUAAACAUUUAUUUAAUAUAUACUUACAUAGCAUUUAAUGUGCCAGGUACAUCUAAACACUUUAUCAAUAUUUAACUCACAACAGGCUUAUGAGGAAGGUUUAUUAUGAUUCCCAUUUUACAGAUGGAAAAGCGAAGGCACAGAAAGGUUAAAUGACUUUCUCAAGGUCAUACAGCUUAGGAAGCUGCAGCUGUAUUCAAACCUAAGGAGUCUAGCUUUAAGGUCCAUAUUCUUAACCACCAUACUAUAUUGUCUAUCAUAUUACCUUACUUUAAUUCAGGUGUCAGCAAACUGGGUCAUUUCAAGGCUCUCCUCCCAUUUAGUUUUUUAGAACACAGCCACCCCAUUCCUUUAGCAGAGGCUGUGGCUUCUUUCCUGACAAAGGCACUGUUGAGUUGUUGCCACAGAGACGGUGUGGCCUGAAAAGCCAAAAAUAUUUGCUGCCUGGCCCUUUCCAGAAAAAGUUUGGCAGCCCCUGAUUUAUUUGAUUCACGGCUCUUGUCAUCAUCUGAAGUUGUCUAUUUAUUUGAUUGUUUCUUUUAUGUCUCUUGCACUAGGUUAUAAGCUCCAUGAGAGCAGGGGUUUCUUGUUUGGUUCACCCCUGUAUACCUGGUUCCCAACACAGUGCCUGGCUUAUAACACAUGCACAAUAAAUAUUGGUUAAAUAAAGGAACA
rnacentral:lncRNA from 1 species